rnacentral:rRNA from 1 species
UACGGAGGGUGCAAGCGUUAAUCGGAAUUACUGGGCGUAAAGCGCACGCAGGUGGCUGAGUCAGUCGAUUGUGAAAGCCCUGGGCUUAACCUGGGAAUUGCAGUCGAUACUACUUAGCUAGAGUAUGGGAGAGGGCAGUGGAAUUCCCGGUGUAGCGGUGAAAUGCGUAGAUAUCUGGAGGAACACCGGUGGCGAAGGCGGCAUCCUGGACCAAUACUGACGCUGAGGAGCGAAAGCCAGGGGAGCAAACGGG